ACGGAAGUUUUCUUUUUUUCUAGGCAACAAUCCCUAUUCCACGUUCUCGCUGCUUAUUCUAUUUACAACACGGAGGUUGGAUACUGUCAGGGGAUGAGCCACAUCACAGCCUUACUCCUCAUGUACAUGAAUGAAGAGGACGCCUUCUGGGCCCUCGUCAAGCUCUUCUCGGGCCCCAAACAUGCCAUGCAUGAGCAUGGGCCUGGAAUUGAUAUGUUUACACCGGGUAAACCUGGAGAUUAUGACUUGGAAGGUGGUAUAUGGGAAGAUGAAGAUGCUCGGAAUUUUUAUGAAAAACCUCAUUGAUUUGAGAGCUUUUUUUCCAGCCAUCUUGUUUAAAGAUAAUGAAAAAAGUUGUCAGAAUAAAGAUUCCAACAAGGAUGAUUCUAAAGAAGCAAAAGAACCUAAGGAUAAUAAGGAGGUACCGAAUCCUGAUGACCUGGAACUCGAGUUGGAGAACCUAGAGAUUAAUGAUGAUGCUUUGGAGUUAGAGGGUGGAGAUGAAGCUGAAGAUCUUACAAAGAAACUUCUUGAUGAGCAAAAACAAGAGGAUGAAGAAGCCAGCACUGGAUCUCAUCUCAAGCUCAUAGUAGAUGCUUUCCUCCAGCAGUUGCCCAGCUGUGUCAACCGUGAUCUGAUAGACAAGGUAUGAUUGUCUCUAGGUAACUUUACUCAAGCACAUAGACCUUGUAGGAUAGCUCUAAUUAGGAAUGUCUGUGGUUUUUGGACUGUUUUGGCCAUAGAAUGAACCAUUUCUUCAAAUGGAAUCUUACAUGGGAAUCCAAAAUAAACACACAGUUGGAACCGGUUUGUUGAUCUUACGUUUGGGGUGGAACUGUCUCUAGGAUCCUGUUGGCUUGACUCUGCCCUUCAUGUAGGGAUGCCACGGUUUGGAAAAUACUGUUAGACCAGAAGUCCUUAAAGUGUGCUUUGUAGGUUCUUGAUGUCAUCUGAGGCACUUUCAGGGGCUCUGUAAAGUCAAAAAACUUUUUAUACUAGUACUAGGAUUUUCCCCACCGCUUGUUCAGUGUUUUCAACAUUUGCAAAAGUGAUGAUGGGUCAAGUUGCUGGUGUUUUAACGUGGAUCAUAACGCAGUGGCAGCAAACUGGAGUAGUGGCCAUUGUGUUCUUCGUAGCCAUGAAUUUGCAAUUAAAAAAA